CACCACCAAAACAUUAACUUAUAUCAAGGUUCAGAGUAAUUUAAAAUGGCGAUCCUAAACAACAAAGCUGCCUUGUUAGUACUCGUACUCUCUAUUUUUGUGAUCAUCACAAUUGCCGAAAGCAGGCCAGUUUUCCAUGUUGCUGCAAAGCCGAAAGCACCUCCAGCAUGUGAUACUGUGUUCGGAGUGAGGAAAGGAGACACUUGUUUUGACAUCGCCCAGAAUUUCAAACUCUCGACUCCUGAGUUCGAUUCCAUCAACCCUAACAUUAAUUGUGCGGCCUUGUUCGUGGGUCAGUGGGUUUGUGUUGAUGGAACCGCUUGAUAAACUUGCAUAUCUUCACUAGCUAGGACGGGACUAAAAAAAUAAAUUGUUGUAAAACAAGGUCUUUAACCUAGCUAUAAGUACCAAUGCUACAUCUUGUAUUUCGUUUUCUUGUUCUGGCUACUCGAGUAUAACUGGAUGUUUAAAUGAUGCAUCCGGGACUUUGCUUUUUCGUUGUAAUCCUAAUAAUCCCAGAGAGUGGUUUAACACCUUCAAAA